UACGAAGGGGGCUAGCGUUGUUCGGAAUCACUGGGCUUAAAGGGCGCGUAGGCGGGCUGUCAAGUCUGGGGUGAAAUCCCGCGGCUCAACCGUGGAACUGCCUUAGAUACUGACGGCCUCGAGGAAGGUAGGGGCAUGCGGAACUGUAGGUGGAGCGGUGAAAUGCGUUGAUAUCUACAGGAACUCCGGCGGCGAAAGCGGCGUGCUGGACCUUUUCUGACGCUGAGGCGCGAAAGCUAGGGGAGCAAACGGG
rnacentral:rRNA from 1 species